CAUAUGCCUCACAAACAAUUCUUUAGUGUGACUUCCCUUGUAUGAUCCGGAUUAUUUUCUUUCCGUAGAGCUAUCAUCAUAGGGAAUUCCAAUUAUUGAUAGGCACUCUUUUGUUUAGUAAUGACAGAAAAAAAUAAAAUGGCUUACCUAUGUCUCUUAGAGUGUGACCUUUUUUCUGGGAGCAGAGGGAUCUGAAUCCAUAACUGCAUAAGAUUUCUUUUUAUCCUUUACAAAGAAAAUCUCUG